rnacentral:tRNA from 1 species
GCCAGGAAGACUAAUUGGUUAAGGUGUUGGACUUAAGAUUUAAUGAAUGUAUAUAUGUCCACUCCUGGCA